GUGCACUCUCAGGGCGGGGUGAAAUUCCCUACCGGCGGUAUGCAGUUUUCUGCGAGCCCGCGAGCGGCUUGGGCAGCCCCCAAGUGUCAGCAGAUCCGGUGAGAGGCCGGAGCCGACGGUGAAAGUCCGGAUGGAAGAGAGCGGAC
rnacentral:ncRNA from 1 species